rnacentral:rRNA from 1 species
GACGAACGCUGGCGGCGUGCCUAACACAUGCAAGUCGAGCGAUGAACCCUUCGGGGGGAUUAGCGGCGGACGGGUGAGUAACACGUGGGUAACCUGCCUCAAAGAGGGGGAUAGCCUCCCGAAAGGGAGAUUAAUACCGCAUAACAUCAAAUUAUCGCAUGGUAGUUUGAUCAAAGCAGUAAUGCACUUUGAGAUGGACCCGCGGCGCAUUAGCUAGUUGGUGAGGUAACGGCUCACCAAGGCGACGAUGCGUAGCCGACCUGAGAGGGUGAUCGGCCACAUUGGAACUGAGACACGGUCCAGACUCCUACGGGAGGCAGCAGUGGGGAAUAUUGCACAAUGGGCGAAAGCCUGAUGCAGCAACGCCGCGUGAGUGAUGAAGGCCUUCGGGUUGUAAAGCUCUGUCUUCUGGGACGAUAAUGACGGUACCAGAGGAGGAAGCCACGGCUAACUACGUGCCAGCCGCCGCUGUAACAC